UUCCUGGUGGUCCAGUGGCAAAGACUUUACGUUCCCAAUGUAGGGGGCCCAGGUUUGAUCCCUGGUCAGGCAA
rnacentral:tRNA from 1 species